CUUCUGGCUGUCCGAGUUGUAAUCUGGAGAAGCGUUUUCUGUGUUAGACCGUGUACAAGUCUCCUGGAACGGAGCCUCAUAGAGGGUGAGAAUCCCGUCCAUGACACGGACUACUAAUACUUUGUGAUACGCUCUCAAAGAGUCGAGUUGUUUGGGAAUGCAGCUCAAAAUGGGUGGUAAAUUCCAUCUAAAGCUAAAUACUGGCGAGAGACCGAUAGCGAACAAGUACCGUGAGGGAAAGAUGAAAAGCACUUUGGAAAGAGAGUUAAACAGUACGUGAAAUUGUUGAAAGGGAAACGCUUGAAGUCAGUCGCGUUGUGCAGAACUCAGCCUUGCCUCGGCUUGGUGUACUUUCUGCACGCAACGGGUCAACAUCAAUUUUGGUCCAUGGAGAAAGGUAGGGGGAAUGUAGCGCUGCUUCGGCAGCGUGUUAUAGCCCUCUAUUGUAUGCAUGGGCUGGGAUUGAGGAACGCAGCACGCCCUUGUGGCCGGGGGUUCGCCCCACGUACCGUGCUUAGGAUGUUGGCAGAAUGGCUUUAAGCGACCCGUCUUGAAACACGGACCAAGGAGUCUAACAUGCUUGCAAGUGUUCGGGUGGAAAACCCUUGUGCGUAAUGAAAGUGAAAGUUGGGAACCUCCGCAAGGGGGUGCACCGACGCCCGGCCCUGACGUUCUCUGACGGUGCUGCGGUAGAGCAAGUAUGCUAGGACCCGAAAGAUGGUGAACUAUGCCUGAAUAGGGCGAAGCCAGAGGAAACUCUGGUGGAGGCUCGUAGCGAUUCUGACGUGCAAAUCGAUCGU
rnacentral:rRNA from 1 species